AGCAACGGAGGACGGAACAGGCAGCCGUCGCCCAUUGUUAGGAGAUGUGGGAAUCGUCACCCCACCUAUUUCU
ncrna:unclassified sequences skipping-rope RNA